GGGGAAUUUUCCGCAAUGGGCGAAAGCCUGACGGAGCAAUACCGCGUGAGGGAGGAAGGCUCUUGGGUUGUAAACCUCUUUUCUCAGGGAAGAUAAUGACGGUACCUGAGGAAUAAGCAUCGGCUAACUCCGUGCCAGCAGCCGCGGUAAUACGGAGGAUGCAAGCGUUAUCCGGAAUGAUUGGGCGUAAAGCGUCCGCAGGUGGUUUUGAAAGUCUGCUGUUAAAGCGUGCGGCUUAACCGCAUAAGGGCAGUGGAAACUAUGAGACUAGAGUGCGUUAGGGGCAGAGGGAAUUCCCAGUGUAGCGGUGAAAUGCGUAGAGAUUGGGAAGAACACCGGUGGCGAAGGCGCUCUGCUAUACCGUAACUGACACUGAGGGACGAAAGCUAGGGGAGCGAAUGGGAUUAGAUACCCC
rnacentral:rRNA from 1 species